UUAGUCCCAGUUCGGAUUGCAGGCUGCAACUCGCCUGCAUGAAGUCGGAAUUGCUAGUAAUCGUAGGUCAGCAUACUACGGUGAAUACGUUCCCGGGCCUUGUACACACCGCCCGUCAAACCAUGAGAGUUGGCAACACCCGAAGUCGGUAGUCUAACCGCAAGGAGGACGCCGCCGAAGGUGGGGUUGAUGAUUAGGGUUAAGUCGUAACAAGGUACC
rnacentral:rRNA from 1 species